UUGACCUCAAAUCGGGUGAGACUACCCGCUGAACUUAAGCAUAUCAAUAAGCGGAGGAAAAGAAACUAACAAGGAUUCCCCUAGUAACUGCGAGUGAAGCGGGAAAAGCUCAAAUUUAAAAUCUGGCGGUCUUUGGCCGUCCGAGUUGUAAUUUAGAGAAGCGUCUUCCGCGCUGGACCGUGCACAAGUCUCCUGGAAUGGAGCGUCAUAGAGGGUGAGAAUCCCGUCUUUGGCACGGAUGCCCGGUGCUUCUGUGAUGCGCUCUCGAAGAGUCGAGUUGUUUGGGAAUGCAGCUCAAAAUGGGUGGUGAACUCCAUCU
rnacentral:rRNA from 1 species